rnacentral:rRNA from 1 species
UACGGAGGGUGCAAGCGUUGCUCGGAAUUAUUGGGCGUAAAGCGCGUGUAGGCGGCUUUGCAAGUCGGGUGUGAAAGCCCUCAGCUCAACUGAGGAAGUGCGCCCGAAACUGCAGAGCUUGAGUGCCGGAGAGGGUGGCGGAAUUCCCCAAGUAGAGGUGAAAUUCGUAGAUAUCGGGAGGAACACCAGUGGCGAAGGCGACUACCUGGCCUGUUCUUGACGCUGAGGCGCGAAAGCUAGGGGAGCAAACGGG